UACGGAGGGAGCUAGCGUUGUUCGGAAUUACUGGGCGUAAAGCGCACGUAGGCGGCUUUGUAAGUUAGAGGUGAAAGCCUGGGGCUCAACCCCAGAAUUGCCUUUAAGACUGCAUCGCUUGAAUCCGGGAGAGGUGAGUGGAAUUCCGAGUGUAGAGGUGAAAUUCGUAGAGAUUGGGAAGAACACCAGUGGCGAAGGCGGCUAUCUGGACGGUUUCUGACGCUAAGACGCGAAAGCGUGGGGAGCAAACAGG
rnacentral:rRNA from 1 species